rnacentral:tRNA from 1 species
GCUGGCGUAGCUUAAGCAAAGCGUGACACUGAAGAUGUUAAGAUUGUCCCUAAAAAGUCCCGCAGGCA